rnacentral:misc_RNA from 1 species
CUGGAGAUAGCAAAAAAAAAAAGAAGAGUAUGGCAGAAGAAGUGAAGCUGUUGAGGAAUUGGUCAAGUCCAUAUGGUUUGAGGGUGGUGUGGGCACUAAAACUGAAGGGGAUUGAGUAUGAUGAAGUGUUAGAGGAUCUUUCCAACAAGAGCUCCUUGCUUCUGCAGUAUAAUCCUGUUUACAAGAAGAUCCCUGUACUUGUUCAUAAUGGAAAACCCAUCUGUGAAUCACUUCUCAUUCUUGAAUACCUGGAGGAGACUUGGAAACAAACUCCAUUGCUUCCUGAAGAUCCUCACCAGCAAGCCUUGGCUCGCUUCUGGGCUAAGUUCGGUGAUGAAAAGGUGUUACAAACAAUGAGAAUGGAUGUUCUCUUAAAGCAAGGAAAAGAACAAGAAGAAGCAAUAGUUUCAACCAUAGAGAACUUGAAAUAUUUAGAAGAAGAGCUAAAGGGAAAGAAAUUCUUUGGGUGAGAGACCAUCGGACUAGUAGAUCUUGCAUUGGGUUGGCUUGCCUACCACUUCAAUGUAGUUGAGGACAUAAUUGGUGUGAAGUUGAUAGACCAACAAAAAUUCCCAUUAUUAGUGGCAUGGAUGCAAGAAUUCUCAAAUAUCCCAACAAUCCAAGAGAGUUGGCCUCCAAGAGACAAACUCUUUGAUCGGUAUGCUAGCUUCCGUAAGGCUGCCCUUGGAGAGCACACCCCAAAAUGAGCCCCAUAUCAUUUGUGAAAAUUAUCAUGGAGUUGUAUUAAUUUCAUGCAAGUUUUAUCAAGAAUAAACACACCCACUUGUGAUGUUUGUGUAUUGCAAUGGAUUGUGAUCUGGUUAAGGAUUUCUCAUUGUUUUGAACUAAUAAAAG